CCAGAGAGCAAAUUGUCAGUGUUUGUUCUGUCAGUGCUGCAUGAAGGGUGUUGCAGCUGUCUACGGGGCAGGUCGCCGGAGUCCUCUUCGCGCACUGCAUGUCAUGUUGAGUGGACAGGUAACCCCCUGUAACAGCUGCUCCCUAUGCCCCUUACUAUCCUGGUGGCAGCCAUUACCAACUCUCUCGC